rnacentral:rRNA from 1 species
CCCUUAGAUGUUCUGGGCCGCACGCGCGCUACACUGACGAAUGCAACGAGCUUACAACCUUGGCCGAAAGGUCUGGGUAAUCUCCAAAUUUCGUCGUGAUGGGGAUAGAUUAUUGCAAUUAUUAAUCUUCAACGAGGAAUGCCUAGUAAGCGCAAGUCAUCAGCUUGCGUUGAUUACGUCCCUGCCCUUUGUACACACCGCCCGUCGCUCCUACCGAUUGAAUGGUCCGGUGAAGCGUUCGGACCGUGGCCUUUGGACGGUUCGCCGUCUGUUGGCUGCGGGAAGUUCGUUAAACCUUAUCAUUUAGAGGAAGGAGAANUCGUAACA